rnacentral:rRNA from 1 species
UACGGAGGGUGCAAGCGUUAUCCGGGUUCACUGGGUUUAAAGGGAGCGCAGGCGGAUUUGUAAGUCAGUGGUGAAAGGCUUAAGCUUAACUUGGGAACUGCCAUUGAUACUAUAAGUCUUGAAUGUUGUUGAGGUUUGCGGAAUGGGUCAUGUAGCGGUGAAAUGCGUAGAUAUCAAGAGGAACACCUGAGGUGAAGACGGGUUGCUGGGCUGACACUGACGCUGAGGCGCGAAAGCCAGGGUAGCAAACGGG